rnacentral:rRNA from 1 species
UACGUAGGUGGCAAGCGUUGUCCGGAUUUACUGGGCGUAAAGGGCGUGCAGGCGGUCUGUUAAGUCUAGGGUGAAAGCUCCCGGCUCAACUGGGAGAGGUCCUUGGAUACUGGCGGACUUGAGGGAGGCAGAGGAAAGUGGAAUUCCCGGUGUAGUGGUGAUAUGCGUAGAUAUCGGGAGGAACACCAGUGGCGAAGGCAGCACUCUGGGACGGUACUGACGCUGAGACGCGAAAGCGUGGGGGAGCGAACAGG